rnacentral:rRNA from 1 species
GAUGAACGCUGGCGGCGUGCCUAAUACAUGCAAGUCGAGCGAAGGGCCGGGAAGUUUGUUUCUUGGUUGUUGGGGGCGGCGGGGGGGGAAACAGUGGGAAACCUACCUUUAAGACUGGGGAAACUUUGGGAAAACGGUGCCAAAUCCGGGUAAAAAUUUUGACCCCCUGGUUUCAAAGGUAAAGACCGGCUUUCCGGUACUUAUUCGAGGAUUCCGCGCUGAUUAAGCUAGUUGGUAAGGUAACGGCUUACCAAGGCAACGAUGCAUAGCCGACCUGAGAGGGUGAUCGGCCACACUGGAACUGAGACACGGUCCAGACUCCUACGGGAGGCAGCAGUAGGGAAUCUUCCGCAAUGGGCGAAAGCCUGACGGAGCAACGCCGCGUGAGUGAUGAAGGUCUUCGGAUCGUAAAACUCUGUUAUUAGGGAAGAACAUAUGUGUAAGUAACUGUGCACAUCUUGACGGUACCUAAUCAGAAAGCCACGGCUAACUACGUG